ACCUGAAGUUUCUCUUUUUUUAAACAACAAAACAAAAUCUCUUUUACUUUAUUUCCCAGCUCUUCUUCAUCCAACAUGUUCAUUCCAGUUUCACAGUAUCUUUGUCAGGCUGCUGUGAGAUCUGAAUAAACCUGAUCAAGAAAUGAUCUACUGUUGUCCUCACUGUAAAUCACUGUAGAUAAGAUGGUCAGUGAAAUGCACUGAACAUAAACACAUUUUAAUAUGUACAAGAGAUGACAAGCUAAUACCUGACAAAAACAGCAAACACAGACUGAAGUCACCAUGAGGAAGUGACACGUCACUCAUCACAGGAAGUAGAGGCUGAAUUCAUCUUUAAGAAUAAACCACCUCACAGACUUUGACAGUUGAGAGUCUGAGAACAAGAGACUGACAAAGUAGGAGAGAGACAGAGAAACAUGAUGGCUGAAUUCACAUGGAUUCAAAUGUCUUUAUUUCUGAUCCUGGUGCUUCAGUUUACAGCAGCAAAUGGACAAAACCCUUCAGUCCUCAUUGUCAGAGUUGGAGAUGAAGUCACUUUACCUUGUGAAAAUGUGAGAGAUGAUCAGGAUCAAUGUGACAGAACUACCUGGAUCUUCACUGGUUCAGGAAGCAGAUCAACAGUAACUCUGUUUGAACUUGGGAAGAUUCACAGAGCAGCCAAAUCUAAAUCAGACAGACUGAGUCUCACAGAGAACUGUUCUCUGGUUAUAAAGAAGGUCACAGUUGAGGAUGCUGGUUAUUACGGCUGCAGACAGUUUGACAGAUCAGGACAACAACAAGGUCCAGAUGCUCUGGUUGAACUGUCUGUUGUUACCAUGACUGAACAUGAGGACGAUGAUAAGAUCAUCUUGACCUGCUCUGUGUUUCCAUAUGGAGACUGUAGAUACACAGUAGAGUGGCUGAAGGAUGAUUUCACAGUAAUGGAGACAUCACAUCAUUCCUGUUCAGCCUCUGUGAACAUUAAAACAUCUCACCUGAAUGAGAUUCAGAAUUACAAUGCAUUAAAGUGUAAAGUGACAGAUACAGACACUGGAAAAGCAGAGCAUUUUAUCUUCAGCCUUCAGACCUCAAAGGAGAAAACAGAUGAUCCAACAACAACAACAACUACUACUACUACUACUACUACUACUACUACUACUACUACUACUGGUGCUACUACUACUACUGCUGCUACUACUACUACAGCAACAACAACAACAGCCACAGCAGCAACCAUGAGAGAGAGAACAUCAGAAGGGACAAAUAAAAAAACCUCCACAAACGUUAACCCAACAAAACCACAAGGUGAGGAUGGAAGUGGAGUGAGAACAACAAUCAAACCAGGGACAUCAGGAGGAAAAAACAACACAACAUCUGCAAACAACAAUCCACAACCACAAGGUUGGUGGUGGUGGUGGCUCAUCGUUGUAGCUGGAGGUUUAGCAGCACUCAUAAUAUCUGUUGUUGUGUUCGUCAGAUGGAAGAAAACUAGAGGGAACCAAAGACAGACGGAUGGAAACAUGGUUCAGGGUGAUGAUGGUGAAGGUGGUGCAGUGACCUACAGCACUGUGAAAGCCUCCUCCUCUUCUGCUGGAGCCUCCAUUGAUCUCAGCAACCUCUAUGCUACCAUCAAGUAACCAAACAAAUAACAUGUUACUUAUUAAAUAUAGCAUUAUAUUUUUAUAACAACUGCAUGAUUGUUUAGCUCAUAGAUUUAAAAUGUUAAGAGUUAUGAUGAGGAUGAUCUUAAUAGUUUCUCAUAUUGUUUCUUUUCUUGGCUUAGUUUUGGUAAAAUGACAACACAGUUACAAAAUGUUAAAUCAAUACAUUAUAACUGGCUGAUAACUGAUGUCCAUUACAGUGGACACAGGCUCUGAAUCUUAUUCAAUGUUUAACAGUAUCAGCUGUAUGAGACAUGAAGUCAUUGAGAGAGUUGAGACGCCAUCUAGAGGUGAACAGUGUGAAAAAGGGGAACAGACAUGAUAUAAACUGUACUCUUCAUACUGUGUCCCCACAUUGGCACAAUGAGGAUUUUUAAAUCUGUUCAUGAAAUAUUUUACUCAUGUCCACAUUUUCUCUGAUUUAUUGUAAAUUAUUUACAGAAUGGUUUAACAUAUUUUAAGUAUGAAUCAUAUUUUUGUUUUUAGUGUUUUAAGUGUUUUUCCGUGUAUUGGUUUGUGGGAACUAAUGAAGGCCUUACAACGAUUGGCCUGAAGUCACAUGACCAUAAACCCAACCCAUCCUUAUAAGAGCCCCAUUGGCUGAUGUGUAUGUGGAUGCAUGUGAUUGGUUGUUUUUGAAUUUUUCUACUUUACAGCUUCCUUAUCUAAAUGUUAUCUGUAGUAUGUUAUUAGAAUGACUUUGAUGAAGGACACAAGCUGGAACAUGCUGGUCUGACAAUAAAGUUGUUCUAUAAACUACAAGUGUUGCUGGAGUUUUGACCUCUUUAAUGGGAACUAAUAGACAGACCAACCAAACCACAAGCUCACGUCACCACAGACGUAACUGCUCACUGAAGCCAUGGGGCCUCCAUUGAUCUGGUUUGUUCAGGCACAUCUCACAGAUUUGGAUUGGGAUCUGGGAAGUUUGGAGGUUGAUGCCUUGGAUUCUUUGUCGUGUUCUUUGAGCCAUUUCUGAGUCAUUUUUGUGGUGUGGAGGGAGCGUUGUCCUGCUGGAGGAGGCCACUGCCACAGAGAACUGCCUUUGCUUGUGACUGGUCUGCAACAAUGUUUAGGUAUGUGACACAUGGAAAAGGACCAAUUUUUCCCAGCAGAACAUUGUAUUGUAACAAGAUAAUCUAUGUUAUUUAAUUCACCUGUUAGUUGUUUUAAUGUUGUGGCUGAUCAGUGUUUGAUUCUGCAAAAAAGUACCAAAUCAUUUAACACAUCAACAUGAACUGACCUGCUACUACAGGUGUUCAAAAAUAGAAGUGUGGGAACCUGAUGCUUGGAAUUUAAAGAUAGUUCA